rfam:Chryseobacterium solincola strain DSM 22468 contig03, whole genome shotgun sequence.
UUCUAGCCCCGAUGGUAGCGGCAUCCCCCGGCGAGGCCGUGUCCGAAGCCGGGGAUAUAGCGGACAGCGGGUUGUAAU